rnacentral:rRNA from 1 species
CCCGUAACUUCGGGAGAAGGGGGGCCUGAUCCCUGAAGCCCCGUUUGCGGGCUAGGGGGGAGGGUCGCAGAGGCCAGGGGGAAGCGACUGUUUACUAAAAACACAGGUCCGUGCGAAGCCGUAAGGCGAUGUAUACGGACUGACGCCUGCCCGGUGCUGGAAGGUUAAGAGGAACCAUCAACCCCCUCGGGGGUGAAGUGGUGAAUUUAAGCCCCAGUAAACGGCGGUGGUAACUAUAACCAUCCUAAGGUAGCGAAAUUCCUUGUCGGGUAAGUUCCGACCUGCACGAAUGGCGUAACGACUUCCCCGCUGUCUCAACCAUGAGCUCGGCGAAAUUGCAGUACGAGUAAAGAUGCUCGUUUCGCGCAGAAGGACGGAAAGACCCCGGGACCUUUACUACAGCUUGGUAUUGGCGCCCGCUAUAGCUUGUGCAGGAUAGGUGGGAGACUGUGAAGCCGUUACGCCAGUGGCGGUGGAGUCGUCCUUGAAAUACCACUCUGGUUAUGGCGUGCGCCUGAACCUGGGCCCGUGAUCCGGGUUAGGGACAGUGCCUGGUGGGUAGUUUAACUGGGGCGGUUGCCUCCUAAAGUGUAACGGAGGCGCUCAAAGGUUCCCUCAGCCUGGUCGGCAACCAGGUGUUGAGUGCAAGUGCACAAGGGAGCUUGACUGUGAGACCGACGGGUCGAGCAGGUACGAAAGUAGGAACUAGUGAUCCGGCGAUCCCGUGUGGGUGGGUCGUCGCUCAACGGAUAAAAGGUACCCCGGGGAUAACAGGCUGAUCCUGCCCAAGAGUCCAUAUCGACGGCAUGGUUUGGCACCUCGAUGUCGGCUCGUCGCAUCCUGGGGCUGGAGCAGGUCCCAAGGGUUGGGCUGUUCGCCCAUUAAAGCGGUACGCGAGCUGGGUUUAGAACGUCGUGAGACAGUUCGGUCCCUAUCCUCUGCGCGCGCAGGAGACUUGAGAAGGCCUGUCCCUAGUACGAGAGGACCGGGACGGACGAACCUCUGGUGUGCCAGUUGUCCCGCCCGGGGCACGGCUGGUUGGCUACGUUCGGGAAGGGUAACCGCUGAAAGCAUCUAAGCGGGAAACCAUCUUCAAGAUAAGGUCUCCACAAGAAGGACUUGUCCUUUUUGGUAGGCCCCCAGCAGACUACUGGGUUGAUAGGCCAGGAGUGGAAGACCGGUAACGGUCUGUGAGCUGACUGGUACUAAUAGGCCGACACAAACAACAA